rnacentral:rRNA from 1 species
GUGGGGAAUCUUGCGCAAUGGGCGAAAGCCUGACGCAGCCAUGCCGCGUGAAUGAUGAAGGUCUUAGGAUUGUAAAAUUCUUUCACCGGGGACGAUAAUGACGGUACCCGGAGAAGAAGCCCCGGCUAACUUCGUGCCAGCAGCCGCGGUAAUACGAAGGGGGCUAGCGUUGCUCGGAAUUACUGGGCGUAAAGGGCGCGUAGGCGGACAGUUUAGUAAGAGGUGAAUGCCCAGGGCUCAACCUUGGAAUUGCCUUUGAUACUGGCUGUCUUGAGUACGUGAGAGGGGAGUGGAACUCCGAGUGUAGAGGUGAAAUUCGUAGAUAUUCGGAAGAACAACAGUGGCGAAGGCGACUCACUGGCCCGUUACUGACGCUGAGGCGCGAAAGCGUGGGGAGCAAACAGGAUUAGAAACCCGGGUAGUCC